AAAUCAAGUGAUGAGAAUAAUAUAACUGCAACAAUAUGAUUGGAUUUAUUUCCAUGAUUCUUAUUAAUUUAAUUCUAUGAUGAUU